rnacentral:rRNA from 1 species
AGCGAACGUUGGCGGCAGGCUUAACACAUGCAAGUCGAGCGCCGUAGCAAUACGGAGCGGCAGACGGGUGAGUAACACGUGGGAACGUACCUUUUGGUUCGGAACAACACAGGGAAACUUGUGCUAAUACCGGAUAAGCCCUUACGGGGAAAGAUUUAUCGCCGAAAGAUCGGCCCGCGUCUGAUUAGCUUGUUGGUGAGGUAACGGCUCACCAAGGCGACGAUCAGUAGCUGGUCGAGAGGAUGAUCAGCCACACCGGGACUGAGACACGGCCCAGACUCCUACGGGAGGCAGCAGUGGGGAAUAUUGGACAAUGGGCGCAAGCCUGAUCCAGCCAUGCCGCGUGAGUGAUGAAGGCCCUAGGGUUGUAAAGCUCUUUCGGACGGAACGAAAUGGUUAUGGUUAAUACCUGUGACUGAUGACGGUACCGUAAGAAGAAGCACCGGCUAACUACGUGCCAGCCGCCGCGGU